GUGCUUGCUCCAGCAGCACAUAUAUUAAAAUGAGAACAAUACAGAGAAGAUUAGCAUGACCCCUUUGCAAGGAUGACAUGCAAAUUUGUGAAGCGUCCCAUAUUUUG
ensembl:snRNA U6 U6 spliceosomal RNA